AAUAGAUACCCUGGUAGUCCACGCCGUAAACGAUGAUAACUAGCUGUCCGGGCUCAUGGAGCUUGGGUGGCGCAGCUAACGCAUUAAGUUAUCCGCCUGGGGAGUACGGUCGCAAGAUUAAAACUCAAAGGAAUUGACGGGGGCCUGCACAAGCGGUGGAGCAUGUGGUUUAAUUCGAAGCAACGCGCAGAACCUUACCAGCCUUUGACAUCCCGGUCGCGGUUACCAGAGAUGGUUUCCUUCAGUUCGGCUGGACCGGUGACAGGUGCUGCAUGGCUGUCGUCAGCUCGUGUCGUGAGGUGUUGGGUUAAGUCCCGCGACGAGCGCAACCCUCGUCCUUAGUUGCCAUCAUUUAGUUGGGCACUCUAAGGAAACCGCCGGUGAUAAGCCGGAGGAAGGUGGGGAUGACGUCAAGUCCUCAUGGCCCUUACAGGCUGGGCUACACACGUGCUACAAUGGCGGUGACAGUGGGCAGCGACCCCGGCAAGGGGUGAGCUAAUCUCCAAAAGCCGUCUCAGUUCGGAUUGUUCU
rnacentral:rRNA from 1 species